GGCUCGGUGGCGAAGUAGAAACGCUGGGGUUUGCAAAACCUCCAUGCGCGGGUGCGAUUCCCGCCCGAGCCUCCA
rnacentral:tRNA from 1 species